GACGAACGCUGGCGGCGUGCUUAACACAUGCAAGUCGAACGGAAAGGCCCUGCUUGCAGGGUACUCGAGUGGCGAACGGGUGAGUAACACGUGGGUGUUUUGCCUUGCACUUCGGGAUAAGCCUGGGAAACGGGGUCGAACACCGGAUGGGAGCCAUUCUUAGUGAGAUGGUUGGAAAGUUUUUUCGGUGUAGGAGGAGGUUGAGGGCUAUAAGCUUGUUGGUGGGGUAAUGGCCUACCAAGGCGGCGACGGGUAGCCGGCCUGGGAGGGUGGGCGGCCACAUUGGGACUGAGAUACGGCCCAGGCUCCGACGGGGGGGAGCAGCGGGGAAUGUUGAAAAAGGGGCGCAGGCCUGAUGCUGCGCCGCCGCGUGGGGGAUGACGGCCUUCGGGUUGUAGACUCCUUGCGCUAGGGACGAAGCUGUUUGUGACGGUACCUAGAUAAGAAGCACCGGCUAACUACGUG
rnacentral:rRNA from 1 species